AUUGAACGCUGGCGGCAUGCUUUACACAUGCAAGUCGAGCGGCAGCGCGGGCUUCGGCCUGGCGGCGAGUGGCGAACGGGUGAGUAAUAUAUCGGAACGUACCCAGAAGUGGGGGAUAACGUAGCGAAAGUUACGCUAAUACCGCAUACGAUCUACGGAUGAAAGCAGGGGAUCGCAAGACCUUGUGCUUUUGGAGCGGCCGAUAUCUGAUUAGCUAGUUGGUGAGGUAAAGGCUCACCAAGGCGACGAUCAGUAGCUGGUCUGAGAGGACGACCGGCCACACUGGAACUGAGACACGGUCCAGACUCCUACGGGAGGCAGCAGUGGGGAAUUUUGGACAAUGGGGGCAACCCUGAUCCAGCAAUGCCGCGUGAGUGAAGAAGGCCUUCGGGUUGUAAAGCUCUUUUGUCAGGGAAGAAACGGGAGUGGCUAAUAUCCAUUCCUAAUGACGGUACCUGAGGAAUAAGCACCGGCUAACUACGUGCCAGCAGCCGCCGUAAAAC
rnacentral:rRNA from 1 species